CACAAUGGAGAAAGAGAUGUGAUUGUGACGUGGAAGAAGGGUAAAGUGGAGGAAAAUAAAUGAUGGUUUCUCUGAAGGGAUGUUUUGUCUAAUGUGUAUUUUCUUUUUUUUUUCUUUUUUCGACUUUUGUGUGUGUGAUUUUUU
rnacentral:ribozyme from 1 species